GGGUUACUGAUUUUGCUCCAGAACUUUCUGGUAUUCAAAAAAAAAAUGAAUUAAAUUUUAGGGGGGAGAGGACUACUGGGGGUAUUGGAUGAAAGACUUUAAUAGAAUUCAGUUGGAUAGAAUUAGAGACGUAAGCUACAGAUUUUUAAAGAAUUAUUUAAUGAUAGCUAUUGUAAUUUUUAACAUUUUAAUAGAAUUUGCUAGAAAUUACAAACCGAAACUUUUAACCCAUCUACCCAAUCCAUAAUAUUCAUCUUCAUAAUCUGGUCAUGAACAGAGGAGGCAUCAUCAUCUCUCUUUCGUCACAUAAUUCUUACACUCCCUGAUCCAUAGAAGAUUCAAUAUUCAUCUUUCUCUCUCUUGCUUGUAUUUUCUACGGGAAAGAGGAGUCGAUGGAUGAGGAAAAUGAAAAAGAUGAAGAAAAAAAAGAUACUUUUAGAAGUACUUAUCUUUACUUUGAUAAAUAAGUCUUGAUGAAUGUGACAUCCCCAAGCUUGCCUGAAUUGAUAAGUUAAAAUUUGUCUUCGUAAUUGAAUAAUCACCUCUACAACAGAUUCGACAAGUUUGGAAACAAACUUGUGUACCGGAAACUCUCUGUUCUGCUUGGAGUUAUGUUCUAUCCGAAUCCACAACAAAUGAAAACCUCCUUUCGUUAUCAUGUAUUAUCAUUUAUCACAGAAUAAAAGUUUGAAUAGAGAGAAUAGAGGGGAUUGAGAUCGACAUUGAAGCUUGGUUUUAUUUUUCCUG
rnacentral:lncRNA from 1 species